rnacentral:rRNA from 1 species
AUUGAACGCUGGCGGGAUGCCUUACACAUGCAAGUCGAACGGAGUGGCGAACGGGUGAGUAAUGUAUCGGAACGUGCCCAGUAGCGGGGGAUAACUACGCGAAAGCGUAGCUAAUACCGCAUACUAUUGGAGCGGCCGAUAUCGGAUUGGCUAGUUGGGGGGGUAACGGCUCACCAAGGCGACGGUCCGUAGCGGGUUUGAGAGGAGGACCAGCCACACUGGGACUGAGAACCGGCCCAGCCUCCUACGGGGGGCAGCGUUGGGGAAUUUUGGACAAUGGGGGAAACCCUGCUCCAGCCCUCCCGCGUGUGCGAGGAGGGCCUUCGGGUUGUAAAGCACUUUUGGCAGGAAAGCGGUACCUGCAGAAUAAGCACCGGCUAACUACGUGCCAGCCGCCGCGGUAAUAC